UACGUAGGCAGCAAGCGUUGUUCGGAGUUACUGGGCGUAAAGGGUGCGUAGGCGGCUUUUUAAGUUUGGUGUGAAAUCUCCCGGCUCAACUGGGAGGGUGCGCCGAAUACUGAGAGGCUAGAGUGUGGGAGAGGAAAGUGGAAUUCCUGGUGUAGCGGUGAAUUGCGUAGAUAUCAAGAGGAACACCAGUGGCGAAGGCGAGUCCCUGGACAACACCUGACACUGAGGCACGAAAGCUAGGGGAGCAAACAGG
rnacentral:rRNA from 1 species